rnacentral:rRNA from 1 species
GAGUUUGAUCCUGGCUCAGAUUGAACGCUGGCGGCAGGCCUAACACAUGCAAGUCGAACGGUAACAGAAAGCAGCUUGCUGCUUUGCUGACGAGUGGCGGACGGGUGAGUAAUGUCUGGGAAACUGCCUGAUGGAGGGGGAUAACUACUGGAAACGGUAGCUAAUACCGCAUAACGUCGCAAGACCAAAGAGGGGGACCUUCGGGCCUCUUGCCAUCGGAUGUGCCCAGAUGGGAUUAGCUUGUUGGUGGGGUAACGGCUCACCAAGGCGACGAUCUCUAGCUGGUCUGAGAGGAUGACCAGCCACACUGGAACUGGGACACGGUCCAGACUCCUACGGGAGGCAGCAGUGGGGAAUAUUGCACAAUGGGCGCAAGCCUGAUGCAGCCAUGCCGCGUGUAUGAAGAAGGCCUUCGGGUUGUAAAGUACUUUCAGCGGGGAGGAAGGGAGUAAAGUUAAUACCUUUGCUCAUUGACGUU